GGGGAAUUUUGGACAAUGGGCGCAAGCCUGAUCCAGCCAUGCCGCGUGUCUGAAGAAGGCCUUCGGGUUGUAAAGGACUUUUGUCAGGGAAGAAAAGGCUGUUGCUAAUACCGACAGCUGAUGACGGUACCUGAAGAAUAAGCACCGGCUAACUACGUGCCAGCAGCCGCGGUAAUACGUAGGGUGCGAGCGUUAAUCGGAAUUACUGGGCGUAAAGCGAGCGCAGACGGUUACUUAAGCAGGAUGUGAAAUCCCCGGGCUCAACCUGGGAACUGCGUUCUGAACUGGGUGACUAGAGUGUGUCAGAGGGAGGUAGAAUUCCACGUGUAGCAGUGAAAUGCGUAGAGAUGUGGAGGAAUACCGAUGGCGAAGGCAGCCUCCUGGGAUAACACUGACGUUCAUGCUCGAAAGCGUGGGUAGCAAACAGGAUUAGAUACCCUGGUAGUCCACGCCCUAAACGAUGUCAAUUAGCUGUUGGGCAACUUGAUUGCUUAGUAGCGUAGCUAACGCGUGAAAUUGACCGCCUGGGAAGUACGGUCGCAAGAUUA
rnacentral:rRNA from 1 species